rnacentral:rRNA from 1 species
AUUGAACGCUGGCGGCAUGCUUUACACAUGCAAGUCGAACGGCAGCGCGGGCUUCGGCCUGGCGGCGAGUGGCGAACGGGUGAGUAAUGCAUCGGAACGUGCCCAGUAGUGAGGGAUAGCGCGGCGAAAGCCGGAUUAAUACCGCAUACGACCUGAGGGUGAAAGCGGGGGACCGAAAGGCCUCGCGCUAUUGGAGCGGCCGAGGUCGGAUUAGCUAGUUGGUGGGGUAAAGGCUUACCAAGGCGACGAUCCGUAGCUGGUCUGAGAGGACGACCAGCCACACUGGGACUGAGACACGGCCCAGACUCCUACGGGAGGCAGCAGUGGGGAAUUUUGGACAAUGGGGGCAACCCUGAUCCAGCCAUGCCGCGUGCGGGAAGAAGGCCUUCGGGUUGUAAACCGCUUUUGUUCGGGAAGAAAUUCUCUGGGCUAAUACCCCGGGGGGAUGACGGUACCGGAAGAAUAAGCACCGGCUAACUACGUG